AGCAGUGUGGCUUAGUGGAAAGAGCACGGGCUUGGGAGUCUCAGGUCAUGGGUUCUAAUCCCAUCUCUGCCA
rnacentral:tRNA from 1 species